GACGAACGCUGGCGGCGUGCCUAAUACAUGCAAGUAGAACGCACAGUUUAUACCUUAGCUUGCUACACCAUAGACUGUGAGUUGCGAACGGGUGAGUAACGCGUAGGUAACCUGCCUGGUAGCGGGGGAUAACUAUUGGAAACGAUAGCUAAUACCGCAUAAUAUUGAUUAUUGCAUGAUAAUUAAUUGAAAGGUGCAAUUGCACCACUACCAGAUGGACCUGCGUUGUAUUAGCUAGUAGGUGAGGUAACGGCUCACCUAGGCGACGAUACAUAGCCGACCUGAGAGGGUGAUCGGCCGCACUGGGACGGAGACACGGCCCAGACUCCUACGGGAGGCAGCAGUAGGGAAUCUUCGGCAAUGGACGAAAGUCUGACCGAGCAACGCCGCGUGAGUGAAGAAGGUUGUCGGAUCGUAAAGCUCUGUUGUAAGAGAAGAAAGGGUGUGAGAGUGGAAAGUUCACACUGUGACGGUAUCUUACCAGAAAGGGACGGCUAACUACGUG
rnacentral:rRNA from 1 species